GGAGGCGCCGCCAUUUUGUGAGGCCGCCAGCGCUGCCAGCGCCGCCAGCGCCAUGCGUCCCGGCAUCAAACUGUUCGUGGGCAAUGUCCCCGAGGAGGCGACGGCGGAAGAACUGAGCGAACUGUUUUCCGGGGCCGCCGGCCCGGUGCUCGGCAUCGCCUUGAUGAAACAGUUCGCUUUCGUUCACCUCCGGGACGAAGCGGCGGCGGCCCGCGCCAUCGCGCAGCUCAACGGCCAUCAGCUGCACGGCCGCCGCAUCGUGGUGGAGCCGUCCCGGCCGCGGCCCACCAACACCUGCAAGAUUUUUGUCGGCAACGUCUCGGCCGCCUGCACCAGCGGCGAGCUGCGGUCGCUGUUCCAGCAAUACGGCACCGUCGUGGAGUGCGAUGUGGUCAAAGGGUGAGGACGGCAGCUCAAGUGUGUGAGUGAAAAAGUACAGCCUGAAAAACGACAGCCCUGCUCGGCAAAAAUACAGCCUGACAGAGCAGCAGUACAGCUGGAUGGGGUAGAAAUACAGCCUGACAGGACAACCAUGCAGCCAGGCUGGUGGCAGCACCGGGGUCCCGAGGAGCGGCAGGAACAGCUUUGAGGUAGAGCAGGAGGAGCGCAGCCACAGGCAGAGGUGCGCUGCUAGGAAUGAGCCGAGUGGCAGCGCUGGAAAAGAGACCAGAAAGUCAUGGCUGUACCCGGGGAGGUGCUGGAAAGGAUGAGCGGCUCGUAGGAGAGGCAGCUGUAGCUGUAGGAGGCAGCCAGGGGAGCAGGUGAGAGCUGCUGGGCGAUGCCACGACCCCCAGAACUGGGGCUGGGGGAUGAAGGGCUUCCCCAGGAGCACGGGGCCACAGGGUCAGGAUGUAAGAGGCAAAGAGCCCAGGCCUAGGCUCUAAUGAGCGUUUAAUUGCAUCGAGUAACGAGCCGGCAAGGCCAGGGAGCAAGGCAGGGGGCUCUGCAGGGUCCUUAACGAGCCAGCCCCGUUAAUUAGCCUGGCAUCGGGACGAGGGCGGUGUUAGAGCAGGGCUGUAAGGCGGAGCUGCUGCCUCAGCCGUCCCUUCGUUGGCAGCAGGAUGGUGGUGAGUGCGGGGGAAGGGGAAGCGCCCGCGCAGGAGACACAGGCCUGGGUUCAGUGUGAGGUUCGUUAAAAGAGUUUAUUUGACUGGAAAGAGC